AUUGAACGCUGGCGGCAUGCUUUACACAUGCAAGUCGAACGGCAGCGCGGGCUUCGGCCUGGCGGCGAGUGGCGAACGGGUGAGUAAUACAUCGGAACGUGCCCAGUAGGGGGGGAUAGCUCGGCGAAAGCCGGAUUAAUACCGCAUACGACAUGAGGGUGAAAGCGGGGGAUCUUCGGACCUCGCGCUAUUGGAGCGGCCGAUGGCAGAUUAGCUAGUUGGUGGGGUAAAGGCCUACCAAGGCGACGAUCUGUAGCUGGUCUGAGAGGACGACCAGCCACACUGGGACUGAAACGCGGCCCAGACCCCUACGGGAGGCAGCAGUGGGGAAUUUUGGACAAUGGGCGAAAGCCUGAUCCAGCACUGCCGCGUGUGUGAUGAAGUCCUUCGGGUUGUAAAGCACUUUUGGCGGGAACGAAAAGGACUGUGCCAAUACCACGGUUCGAUGACGGUACCCGCAGAAUAAGCACCGGCUAACUACGUG
rnacentral:rRNA from 1 species